rnacentral:rRNA from 1 species
AUGAUCUUAGUGGAUAUCAACACUCCUGGAGUGCAGAUAAAGAGACCAUUGUUAGUCUUUGGGUUCGAUGACCCACUACAAGGACAUGCAGAGAUUACUUCUGAUAACGUGUGUUUUCCGGUCACAAAUAUCCUCCUCGGGGAAGGAUGUGGUUUCGAGAUUGCUCAAGGAAGACUAGGCCUUGGAAGACUACUUCAUUGCAUGAUACUAAGAGUAGUAGCGGAACAUGGCAUGGAUGUGAUGGUUGAGGGGGCCUUACGCAGGACCGCUUUUGGAAAGAAGAUCACACAUCAUGGUUCCUUUCAGUCGGACCUGGUAAAGACAAGGAUUUCUAUGAGAAAAAUGGCAAAAAUGGUGGACGGGUAG